rnacentral:lncRNA from 1 species
UUUUUUUUUCUUAUCUGGUUUCAUGCAGAUUCUGAGGAGAUGAUUGAUGGCGUCACGCGCAUUGUGGGAAACACAAGGCGGACCAUGCAGAAGCAUUCGCUGAAACUGCCUCGCACACUGGUGCGGGAUUUUGCCAACACCUGCUGCUACACGCCGUGCCCACCGUCCCGUUUCAUCGAUAUCUGCUGACCGAGAUGAGCCUAACACUACGGAUACUUUCGAAAAGCACAAGGAACCUGGCAACGUAACUUCAUGGCACCUGGCGUCCGGAGCACUCGUCCUGUCCACAGUUCAAAAAUGCACAAUCGACACUAAGACGUCUUGUGAUAGCACUGCAAAACGGGAGCACAUUUUUAAUAUUAUAUUUUUUCGGUGAUGUAUAUAGAGAAGGCUACAUAUGUACCAAACACUUUAUACUAUUUUGU